rnacentral:rRNA from 1 species
UACGUAGGCAGCAAGCGUUGUUCGGAGUUACUGGGCGUAAAGGGGUGCGUAGGCGGUCCUAUAAGUAUGGUGUGAAAUCUCCCGGCUUAACUGGGAGGGUGCGCUAUAGACUGUGGGACUAGAGUGUGGGAGAGGAAAGUGGAAUUCCUGGUGUAGCGGUGAAAUGCGUAGAUAUCAGGAGGAACACCGGUGGUGUAAACGGCUUUCUGGACCAUAACUGACGCUGAGGCACGAAAAGCGUGGGGUAGCAAACAGG